rnacentral:rRNA from 1 species
UACAGAGGGUGCAAACGUUGCUCGGAAUCACUGGGCGUAAAGGGCGUGUAGGCGGGAAGGAAAGUCAGAUGUGAAAUCCCCAGGCUCAACCUGGGAACUGCAUUUGAAACUCCCUUUCUUGAGUACCGGAGAGGAAAGCGGAAUUCCUGGUGUAGAGGUGAAAUUCGUAGAUAUCAGGAGGAACACCAGCGGCGAAGGCGGCUUUCUGGACGGUAACUGACGCUGAGACGCGAAAGCGUGGGGAGCAAACAGG